GCGUGAUUGGUUUAGUGGUAAAAUUCACCGCUCCCAUCGUGGAUCUCCGGUGAGCCCUGGGUUCGAUUCCCAGAUCACGCG